CGGGGAAUAUUGGGCAAUGGGGGCAACCCUGACCAGCGACGCCGCGUGAGGGAAGAAGGCCUUAGGGUCGUAAACCUCUGUUGUGUGGGAAGAAGGAAGUGACGGUACCACACGAGGAAGUCCCGGCUAACUACGUGCCAGCAGCCGCGGUAAUACGUAGGGGACGAGCGUUGUCCGGAAUUACUGGGCGUAAAGGGCGCGUAGGCGGUCAUUUAAGUCAGCUGUGAAAUGGUCCGGCUCAACCGGAUCAUGCGGUUGAAACUGGAUGACUGGAGUGCUGGAGAGGCAAGUGGAAUUCACAGUGUAGCAGUGAAAUGCGUGGAUAUUGGGAAGAACAACGGUGGCGAAGGCGACUUGCUGGCCAGCAACUGACGCUGAGGCGCGAAAGCCAGGGGAGCAAACGG
rnacentral:rRNA from 1 species